AGCCGGCGGCCGUGGGUUCGCGUGCAAGGCGCGCCGUGAGGCCCACUCUGGCCCAGGCCCCUCGAGGCCUGCCCGCUGCUCCCUGCCCGCUCCCCGACCCCGCACUCCCGGACUCCCGAGCCCCCCAGGGUGGGGAACGCUGGCAACGCCGACCCUGCUGUCUGCUCGCGGCCCAGCGCCCAGCCAGAGAGAUAGAGAGCCCACAGGCCUCCGCCGCGCCGGCCGAUGGAGUUUCUUUGUACGACAGUAAUCGGUGCACAGGGGUUGUUGGAGUCCAGCCCUGAUUUGAAGGCAGCAGGUAUCUCUUGCAGCUGCAGCACUCCAACUUCCUCUAAUGGCACGGUCAGGUCGCAGGAAACCACAGCGGCAGCGCGGUGCAGCUUCCCACGCCCGCCCUUCGAGCUUGUUCCCCAGCGGCGCAGCUCAGCCUCCUCCAAGUCUCAGCCUCAUACCGGCGGGGAGACAAAGCUGGCGCUGGGAGUGGGAAAAGGGCCCGCGAAAUGGCCUCAAGAUCGUGCCUUUGUUAGAAGAAACAUGGGUACGCUCCGAUGCGACGCAGGCUUCCAACCCCAGCGGUUCGGUGGUGGUGCAGUCGUUGAAUUGCGCUGGCCCUAAUAAUUCAGCCUGGCAGGGUUCGCGUUUAUUGCGGAGAGAGACUCUUAAGCAUUCUGUCAACACAUAUGGCAAAUAGAAAGCCUCAACCAUAACAUUGCACAGUUUUUGCAGUUCUUGCUUUAAAUAUGUUCACAGAAAAGACGGCCUUGUUUUACCCAGAGAAGGAGCGUAAUGCGGAGCGAACCAUUCGUCACCCCCAUUCUCUGCUGCACUUAACUGUGUACAGUGAUGAUAAUUAGCCUCUGGGUCCCU
rnacentral:lncRNA from 10 species